rnacentral:lncRNA from 1 species
UAAACGGGUUGGUGCAAAUAGGCCAUGCACCUUACCUGGAUAUUCAUGAGUGCUUUAGAGAACUGCCUAAUUCUCAUAGGAAGCGGCCCCACUCCCACACCCAUAUAGGUGGAUCCAUCAAGUGUGUAUUGCAGGUAGACACACCAUCUUAAAGGACUAUGGUAUCCAUUAAGAGCUUUACCUCAUCCUUAUCUACUGCAGUUUGCACUAUCUACACCAUAGGGAUGGAUUUUCAAAAUUAAAUAUGAUAGUGUACUCACAGUCAACUAGCGACUUGUUAUUACCCAUAUGAGCAUGCUUCAUGGGAUCUCCAAUCACACAUAUUGGGUUUCUGUCGUUAUUGACUUUGAUAUAGGCAUUAGUCACAUCCCCCUCGAUGUUUCACUCACUAGUUUUCUACCUAGUGGUUUUGUCAAAGGAUCGGCCAAAUUCAACUCUGACUUUACAAACUCAAGAGAUAUAAUCCCAUCAUCAAGCAGCUGCCUUACAAUAUUAUAUCUCAACCUUAUGUGUCUAUUCUUUCCAUAUUGACGGGGGCCCGCCUCGCCACUCCCCCGUCCCAUGGCCGAAAGCCUUUUGAAGUUUUUUUAACUCUCGAAAUUCCACACGCAGGUAUGUAUGCAGACAACCGGCGGAAAGAAACAGGCAGCUCUUUCGCUCUAUAGGGAUAUCGGGGGGGCAUAGCACAAUUCUUCUUGGAGGAAGGUUGGUUUGCCCAGGUGACUGAUCCGGCUAUCUUUUCGGGAAGGAUGAUGAGAAAUACGUAUAUCAUUUUUUAUCCCCGAAAAGAAGCCCAAGCGUAAUAAGCAAAGGAAAAACUUUAUUCUUAGCUCGAUAUAUAGCAGCUUGGUUAUCACAAAGAAUAGACACAGAAGGUGUUGGUUUAUUCCAUAAUGGAAUAUCUCCCACAAGAUUUCUAAGCCAUUCAGCUUCAAAACCUGUCUUUUCUAAGGC